rnacentral:snoRNA from 1 species
AUUUAAAAUAAUAUGUGGUUAAUUGGACUUGUAUCUUUAUUGGUCAUUCAAAUAGGGCAAAAGAAAUAUCCUUUUAAAACUCAGGCAAACUGAGUGUUCUGUAACCUGUCAGAGGAAACAAAU